CACACCACUCUGAAUGAGCCCAAUCUUGUCUGCUCUCAGAAGCUAAGCAGGGUCAGGCCUGGUUAGUACUUGAAUGGGAAAAAAGAGAAAGUGAGUC
rnacentral:rRNA from 1 species